AAAAAAUUUUCUUUUAUCAAUUUUACAUUUAUUUAAUUGAAAGAUGAAUAAAAGCUGUCAGAUUGAUCUAUUAUAAGACUUUUAACGAUCGUUGAAUUAAAAAGGAAGCAUGUAUACGCUAGAAAUGAAUUUGAAAAGAAGCGCGCUCGGAUCGUGUACCAUCGUGUCUCGAAUAAACGGAACGAGUGGAACUGUGUGGAAUGCUCAGAUCGAGAAAGCGCAUGCGCAGUAAACGAAAUAGAAAGAUAUACGAGAACAGUGAAAUGAAAAUGUCGCGAAUUCCGAUAUUAGUGAUUUUGGGUUCAACUGGUUCAGGAAAAUCAAGACUUGGGAUUGAAUUGGCACGAAGAUUCUGCGGGGAAAUAAUAUCGGCGGAUAGUAUGCAGAGAUUAGAGAAAGUUCAUGCGCGUUGCCGUUGUGAACUAUCAACAUACAUAAUAUUCAUAAAUGGGGAGAUGCAAAUCCGCAAUGCUGCCUCACAGUCACGGCAUCGGUCGUAGUUUUCGUGGAACGUCUGGGUUGGCAUCAUUGCCGAGUAUCUAAUUGGACCGUGGUUUCUGCCGCGUAGGCUGAGUUGUGCCAAUUAUAGACAAUUUCUAGAAAACACUCAUACUGCCAUGGAUUAUCUUGAUCAACGGUACUUUGGUCGUUGGAUUGGUAGAAGAGGACCAUUGCUUGGCCUACACGCUUUCCGAACAUCAAUCCCCUACAUUCUUUUUUUCUUUGGGUAUACCUCAAACAACUUAUUUAUGCCACACUGGUCCGUAACGUAGACGUUCUACGUGAUUGUAUUCUGUAUGGAUGUCAUCGCAUUUGGAAUACUGUUGAGAUUUUUGUUCGGCAGAACAUGAUACAAUAUAAUGAUGCUGAAGGCCAUUUCCAACAUUUGCUGUGGUCAACAAAUAUGAUGAGUGAAGGAUUGUAAUACAGUUAUGAAGCAUUUUUGUAUCUGGUUUAAUGUUCAAGCAUUUUCGGAUCGUUCUGGUUUUAUAGAAUAUUAUUUCUUCCUUGGAGUUAUAUAGUAAAAUAGACUUCCAAAAUUUAACCAAAUGUUUUAUGAACAUCCUAU